GAUGAAGAACGCAGCGAAAUGCGAUAAGUAGUGUGAAUUGCAGAAUUCAGUGAAUCAUCGAAUCUUUGAACGCACAUUGCGCCCCUUGGUAUUCCAUGGGGCAUGCCUGUUCGAGCGUCAUUUGUACCUUCAAGCUUUGCUUGGUGUUGGGUGUUUGUCUCGCCUUUGCGUGUAGACUCGCCUUAAAAUAAUUGGCAGCCGGCGUAUUGAUUUCGGAGCGCAGUACAUCUCGCGCUUUGCACUCAUAACAACAGCGUCCAAAAGUACAUUUUACACUCUUGACCUCGGAUCAGGUAGGGAUACCCGCUGAACUUAAGCAUAUCAAUAAGCGGAGGA
rnacentral:misc_RNA from 1 species